CUUCAACCCAUAAUCCAUAUCUACUCGUACCUACCCAAAACCAUCCAAAUCCGUCCAAGGUUAUACACGUAUUUGGUAUCUCGAUUGUAGAUUUCUGUUUUCUUAGACAUUGGAUUCACUCAGUUCACGCCGUCAACCAUCGUAGCAACUUCUGUUCUCAUUGUUUCAUUGGAACUGUUCCCGAUGCAAGCUGAGAAGUUUAACAGGGUCGUUUUAUCUUCCGAGUUCAUUCGAGAGGACGAGGUGUUUCGGUGCAUGAAUGACAUGCGGAAUAAGUUUAAGGGCGAUAAGGCCUUGACAUGGUCAAUUGGUCGUUGGUCUGGGGAAGACAUUCCUUUUAUGAACUUUGAACUGCACUGGACGAAUGGCCCUCAGCCUAAGGUAACCUCAAAGCCCAGCCUUUUUACUAUUAGCAUAGGGUGGGAACAAAUAAUAAUGUAAUAUAAAGAAAGAGAAAUUUAUUUUCUCUAGGUUGAAUGAGCAAUAACAAUCCUUUUUCUUUUGACGUCCUCUGUUUUUCCAUUGGCUCUGACAUUUGAGGCAAUUGAACAACGAAAUGUUUUCGGGCUAAUAUUUUCAUG